rnacentral:pre_miRNA from 1 species
AAGGGGAGGUCGGAUCCUGGGCUGUGUCCCGGGCGCCCAGUGCUCCCGGGCCUGCGCUGUUGGAUUCGCACUCUGGCCGCACAGCCCCCU